CCCAAUUCUCUCUUUCCGUACGACCAAACAUAAAUCAUUUAUACGUUCAACUAUUCAAUAAUUAUUUAAAUGAAGUACGAUUUACAUGGAAUAUAAUUAAUUGACAUAUAAAUAAUAGUAUAUAGAAUCGCGAAGUAGGGUUAUUUUCGAUCGAAAUAAGAAACUCAUGUAUAGUUUUUUUAUUUUCGUCAGAGAUACUUAAUCAUUCUAGAGCACGACAUACAUCAAAUGACAACGAAGACUUAAAGAAAAUGUCAUACGGUUAAACGCAGGGAAGUAUCAUACAAUUGCGAAGCAUUGCUAGGAAAUAAAAAUACUUUCAUGCUUAAACCGGCUGCGCGAGGAUAGCAGGAGGACACUGACAAAUGGCCGAUUCCAUAGGACGAAGUAAGAGAGCUAAAAUGAGGAAGACUGGAAGGGUGAAGAGGAUGGUAAAAGUGAGGUCAGAAACGGAUAAUUUAUCGAGGUCGAGUACUCUCUUUCCCUUUCUCUUUCUUUCUUUUUACUUUAUUUUCUUCCGACUUUUUUUCCUUUUUUUGGGCCUCGCUUGUUUUCACGAGUAUUUAUUAUGAUUACUCUCUCUUCUCUUCUCAUCAUUCUCUCUCUCUCUCUCUUUCUCUCUCUCUCUCUCACUCUCUCUUUCUCUCUCUCUCUCUUUUUCUCUCUAUUCUCUCACAUAGUCUCAACAUCGAAAAUCGAAAACCAUGGAGAAAUCGAAUAACUGAUAACGCGUUCUCUGAAUGCGAGACACGCGGGAAAUUGGAAAAUGCUCAUAGGACAUUAUCGACAUUCGCACGAUCGAAGAUGUUGCAUUCGAACGACGAGAACGCCUAAUGGCUAGCACUAUCGCCAGCACUGACUUUUAUGCCGAUUCGAGAAUCACGAACACUUCGCCGCAUCGUUUAAGCUCUAUUCCUCUUGUGCAUGCGUAUGUAUGUGUGUGUGUGUGUGUCUGUGUGUGUCACUUUUAAAAACUCUCCAUGGGUAUCUAUUCGACAACGAACCACUAUUUUUUUUUUCUUUUCCCCCUCUAUCUCACUCCCUGCUCCUCUUCCCAUCUCACUCUUUCCUCUCUUAUCGAAAUGAAAUUUUAAACGAGCUUCCCUCCAAGUGAUCUCAAUACCUCCUACAUACUUCUUCAUGAAACGUUCGCGGUAGUUAUCUUUCGAG